CAAAAACAAACUGGCUUAUGCUGUAUUGUGAGGAGAGAAUGUCCUUACAACGGAUUGACGGUGCAGCUUAGCCGCACAGCCCACCUGGUAGAUACUGUUGGGGUUGCUGACGGUCGGGAUCGUCUUCUGCUCUGGUCGGGAGAGGGGGGCGGACGCAGGGAGAUGGAGGGACACCGAUGGGUUGCUGCUGCUGCAGCUGCUGCUGCUCCGGCUGGUGUCUCCGCACGAGACGUCUUCCUCGUCGUCCGAGGAGGCCCCCGAGGGGACGUCCAGGCUGGCCCGCUCCACCGCACGCUGGAUGCGGUGAGAGAACUCCCGGUCACUGCGGUUGUCGCCACUCAGCAGCGAUACGCAGAACGGAGCCGUGUUCUCGCCAUAUCUUCGAGAGACGGAGCACAUCGUUACUUUCCAUCAGACCGGGGCCAAAUUAGCUAGACAACUAUUAAGACACUGCAUCACAUCAUUAUUUUCCUGCAAAGAGAUUUCAGAGGCACAUCCCUAACGAGAAGGUAAGGGGUAAGCAACUUCGACGCCUAGAUGUAGUCCGAUGACAUUUCUAGGUUUCGAAUAAGGAACCGUUUGGCUGAGAGUGGCAAUAUGGAUACCGCAAGGACUCCAGUGCCCCUGAUAGAGAUAACGCAACAGGGCUUGGCAAUUGUGAGGUCACAUCUGAAUGGGCACCGCAAUGUGGGAAGCAUAGGAAUGUCAUUUAGGUAGUAAUGGGGUUUUGGUCAUCGUCUAGUGAUCAUUGGGGCAUUGUAGGUUAAAGUGUUCAAUCCGCCACUGCGUUUCUCGUAUAAAAAAAAAGAGGUUAAAACAAUGCUUUGAUUGGCCUAGGUUAAA